rnacentral:lncRNA from 1 species
CUGUUCGUGUACUAAACUAAUAGCACCAUGCUAAUAGGAUUUCAUCACGUUUUGUCGUCGAUCUUCAGAUUUUCACUUGUGAUUUCGAAUAUUGUAAUCGGGAUUAAUAUACUGACUUGAGCUGAGCUGGUGCCUUCGAGCAGACGAUUGGAGAACUCGGUUUUAAGGUGCCGGCUUCUUUUUCCACACUAUAGUGAUGUCCAAGAUAUGUAAGGAGGAUUAGACAAGGGCCUGUUUACCGACUUGCGAAGAUAAAUGCUAAAUCACAAGGGACAUCACCCCUGCUGGAGAUGAGCCAUUGAAUUUACUUUUGUCCAGGGAUCGUCACCUGCAUUGCCAUGAGCCGCUGGCCAAGGUAGGACACUUUAUUGUUAUGUUUCCACCUUCUUGUUAUUGUUCCCGUUUAACACUGCACUUCUUCGUUUGUUUUCCCGUUCUCCUUGCGUCGUCUUGAGGACACUUUGCAAUUUUGAUGUUGAAUUUUCGCAUUAGUUUUCUGUUGAUGACCUUCAGCUGUCAAUACCACCAGCCUCCAUAAAAUUUGAUUUAUAAAAUGUC